rnacentral:rRNA from 1 species
GACGAACGCUGGCGGCGUGCUUAACACAUGCAAGUCGAACGAAGAGCGAGGGAAGCUUGCUUCUAUCAAUCUUAGUGGCGAACGGGUGAGUAACGCGUAAUCAACCUGCCCUUCAGAGGGGGACAACAGUUGGAAACGACUGCUAAUACCGCAUACGAUCUAACCUCGGCAUCGAGGAAAGAUGAAAGUUGGCGUCGAUGUAUAAGCUAUCACGGAAGGAGGGGAGUGCGUCUGAUUAGCUAGUUGGAGGGGUAACGGCCUACCAAGGCGAUGAUCAGUAGCCGGUCUGAGAGGAUGAACGGCCACAUUGGGACUGAGACACGGCCCAGACUCCUACGGGAGGCAGCAGUGGGGAAUCUUCCGCAAUGGACGAAAGUCUGACGGAGCAACGCCGCGUGAGUGAUGACGGCCUUCGGGUUGUAAAGCUCUGUUAAUCGGGACGAAAGGCCUUCUUGCGAAUAGCGAGAAGGAUUGACGGUACCGGAAUAGAAAGCCACGGCUAACUACGUG